rnacentral:rRNA from 1 species
GUUGAACGCUGGCGGCGUGCCUAAUACAUGCAAGUCGAGCGAAAACACGAGGCACUUUCUCCUCUGGCGUUAGCGGCGGACGUGUUAGUAACACAUGUAUAACCUAGCUAUGAGACUCUGCUAGCUUCGGUAAACCGUAGCUCAUACCAUAUAAUGUAUUGAACCGCAUGGUGCAAUAGUUCAAGACGUUGUUGCGGUCGCUGAUAGAUUAAUCCGGGCCUGAUUAGCUAGUUGGUAAGGUAACGGCUUACCAAGGCAACGAUGCGUAGCAGGCCUGAGAGGGUGAUCGGCCACACUGGAACUGAGACACGGCCCAGACUCCUACGGGAGGCAGCAGUAGGGAAUCUUGCGCAAUGGGCGCAAGCUUGACGGAGCAACGCCGCGUGAGUGAUGAAGGUCUUCGGAUCGUAAAACUCUGUUAUUCGGGAAGAAAAAACGUGUAAGAAAAUAUGCACGUAUUGACGGUACCUAAACAGAAAGCAACGGCUAACUACGUG